ensembl:lncRNA
GUCUUCUCCUCAGAAGCCUCGCUAACUGCUGGGCUGUUUUCUGCCCAGCCCUGGAGCAGAGCUGGGCUUGUGGGAGGAACCCGCUGCCUCUUCCGCGUCUUCCCUCACUUCUGGACGCUAGCUUCCCAGUGCCCAAACAGAAGCGCGUCCCGGCCCGGGCCUGGGCCCACACCUCUGGACUUCGCUCCUUGAUGAAGUCCUAGGUUCCCCUCUAAACAGAACUGGACCGUGUCCAGCUGCUGUCUGCAGGUUCCUCAAACAUUCACCCGGCAGAUGUUUUUGCAAGGGGUUCGUGUUUGGCUUUCGAGUUGGUUCUCCGGGCUCCAAGGGGAAGUCCGAGGGUGGAUCCCAGAGUUCGCGCCACCCCCACAGUCCUCUGUCCCCGGCGGGCAGGAAAAGGAAGCCCUUUGUGUCCAAGUGCUGACAGCCCAGCCUCUGCAGAAGAAGGGACGGCCCUGCCUUCCAAAGCUGCGAGGAGCCCAGAAACUCCUGUCGGAGCUUUGGGAGGGUGUGCGCUCCCAGGCAGCCUCACCGGAACUGCCUGGCUUUGGGCAUCUUUUCUCUACCAGAAAAGCGGCUGCUUCUGUGAGCAGCCGUAGGGGAAGGAAACCUGGCCCCCGCAGACCCUCCCUGCAGGAAGGCCUGGAGUCUGCGCCCUGCGCGCGUGGCACCGGCGAGGAGGCGCCGUUAGAGGGCAGCACGCGCCCUUCUCACGGCCCGCCGGCCCCGGCCGCCCCUCGAUUACAGGCUGUCGCUAACUGCCAAAGCUCGGGGCUCCCGCGUCAGGAGAAAAACAAGUUGGAGAGACCCAGGGAGGUGGAGGCGAGGCACCCCUCCGGUGGAAACGCUGCUCUCGGGAAGCCCAGGCUCGCAGCCCCCGCCUCCUCUCCCCGGAACCCGCACCUGGGCCAGGACCCGGGGGGUGCGCGGGGCUGGGAGCCCACGCGCCACGCCCCGGGCCACCGAGCUGCGGGCCUCGAGGAAAGCGGGGACAAGGCGCGCGCUGGUGCUGUCCGCGGCCGGGGCACUCGGGCUUCACAGGGAAGGACGAAACCCGAUCCCAGCAAUCGGGACAGAUCGGCGGCGCCCACCUUUGAGGUGACCCAGUUCUGAGACCAGCGCUUGGCUCAGGACGCUCGUGUAGCUCCUCGACAGCCCUGAUGCACCGCACCUUCUGAUUGGAAGACCUUAGCAUGACAAGCUCUGGCCCCCACCCCCACCCCCGCGAGGCCCCGCAGAUGAAAAUGUCAGGCUGAAGGCGACAGGUGACCAAACCCCAGCACUGGGGUCUCACCGCACACUCCCAAGCUCAGGUUUGGAGCUGGAUGGGGUUCCAUGUCUUUCUCCCUGCCCGCAAGGCUCGUUUUAUACCCUCUGCUCUUUUGAUGAGGCCCGCCUGGGCCCCAGGAUAGGGCAGAGGAAGCUCGGACUUCCUUAGUCCCUGAACAACACUGGCCUUCAGCUGUGGCCACAGCUGACCUUUCUUUAGGAGGUCGUUGUUGUUUGUUGAGCAUCAGUCACAAAUAUUGCAUCUGCAACGCCCCUCCCCAGGGCACUCCAGGCCCGAGUGCCCCAACUCUGUGCCCUCCCUCCUGACCACGGGAGUCUUCCUCCCUCCACCUUCAAUUCAGUGGUUUCAGCUGAAAAGGAAUUAUGAAGUAUUAUAAUUGGGGUCAAGCUAAUUACAGACAUGGCACUCCCAGUCUAGGACAGAGGGGCUCAUAGAUGGGGAACAUCGCCUUUUGGGGGUGGCUCUAAUUUCCACCUGCCUUGGGCUAGUUGUGCAGACCAAACUUCCCAAGGACAGCAGUUGAAAAGCUGGAGCAAAUAUAAAUGGAUUCCAAAUUUUUCCAUUUAAUUGUUAAAUACUGAGAAGUGAUAUUGGCCGCUGGUACAGGAACUCGUGAAGGACUGAAUCAUCCCAACCAUCUUGCCAUUGGAAACUGACUUACUGGCCUGUGAUUCAAAAAUCAAGUUGACACAGUUUACACAAAAUUCUCCUUAAAAUUGUAAAUAAAACCAUUAAGUGGGACAAAAAUUAUGCUGUCUAAAUAUGUGUACGAUUUGGGGGUAGACUAAUUCCUCCUCCUGGAGAGAAGACGGCUCUGUUCUCCUCUGGGCCUCCUCUUUCCUGCCUCAUUGUGUGCUUCCACUGCAGAGACCAGACAUCCCCUGCCCCACCCCGGGCCAGAGCAGAAGCUGCCCAACUCCCCUCCAACCCUCAUUGUCCAUGUUAAACACGCACUGCAGUCUCUUGACCUGUUAGGUUUUUAGUCCCAUUCACACAAGAGGAUUAAUUCUUCACUGCUGCUGUUUUGGACACAUUUUCCACAUCCCUGAGCCCAUUUCCUCACCUCUAAGAUGAUAGCAAUAGCAGAGUACCUACUUCCUGGUGUUAUUGUGGGCAUUAAAUAAGGACAAUGCAGACAAGAUAUUGACUACCUUGUCCCCAGCCGCUAGUAAGUGCCUGGUUAGGGUUAGUUAUUGCCAUUGAUUGCUAUUAGUAUUGACCUGAAGAGGUUAUGACAGGCAUCUGGUUCAACCACAUAUCCAACGCUGGAAUACUACCAAGCAUUCGAACUCUUCCAACAAGAGGGACAGUGAUUUCCCAUGAAGCAGCCCGGUCCAUCUUGGGCCAGCUUUUCCUGCAGCA